GGCCGACUAGCUCAGUUGGUUAGAGCGUGGUACUAAUACGGCUUACCGUGUUAUGCCAAGGUCGUCAGUUCGAUCCUGGCGUUGGCCA
rnacentral:tRNA from 1 species